rnacentral:rRNA from 1 species
UGGUAAGGUAACGGCUUACCAAGGCGACGAUCAGUAGCCGACCUGAGAGGGUGAUCGGCCACAUUGGAACUGAGACACGGUCCAAACUCCUACGGGAGGCAGCAGUGGGGAAUAUUGCACAAUGGGCGAAAGCCUGAUGCAGCAACGCCGCGUGAGUGAUGAAGGCCUUCGGGUCGUAAAACUCUGUCCUCAAGGAAGAUAAUGACGGUACUUGAGGAGGAAGCCCCGGCUAACUACGUGCCAGCAGCCGCGGUAAUACGUAGGGGGCUAGCGUUAUCCGGAUUUACUGGGCGUAAAGGGUGCGUAGGCGGUCUCUCAAGUCAGGAGUGAAAGGCUACGGCUCAACCGUAGUAAGCUCUUGAAACUGGGAGACUUGAGUACAGGAGAGGAGAGUGGAAUUCCUAGUGUAGCGGUGAAAUGCGUAGAUAUUAGGAGGAACACCAGUUGCGAAGGCGGCUCUCUGGACUGUAACUGACGCUGAGGCACGAAAGCGUGGGGAGCAAACAGGAUUAGAUACCCUGGUAGUCCACGCUGUAAAC